GCCCCCGUAGCUCAGUUGGUUAGAGCAUUGGUCUUAUGAGCCAAAGGUCGUGGGUUCGAGCCCCCCCGGGAGCA
rfam:Physcomitrella patens subsp. patens PHYPAscaffold_81 genomic scaffold, whole genome shotgun sequence.